GGAAAGGAUGAAAAGGCCAGCAGCCUC
rnacentral:piRNA from 1 species